AAAUUUAGGAUAACACGUUUUAAACCAAGGACCUUCAAAGCCCUAAACAAGAGCACACACCUUUUAAUUUUU
rnacentral:tRNA from 1 species